ACCCAUUGAUUUAUAGGUUAAAAGCAUCUUCCUUGUAAUCAGUAGGUCCCGGGUUCGACUCCUGGUGCCGGCACCA
rnacentral:tRNA from 2 species